rnacentral:rRNA from 1 species
GAUGAACGCUGGCGGCGUGCUUAACACAUGCCAGUCGAACGAGAAGUGAAGACGGAAACCUUCGGGCGGAAGGCUUUAUUUCGAGUGGCGGGCGGGUGAGUAACGCGUGGGUAACCUGCCUCAUACAGGGGGAUAACAGUUGGAAACGACUGUUAAUACCGCAUAAGACCACAGCACCGCAUGGUGCGGGGGUAAAAACUCCGGUGGUAUGAGAUGGACCCGCGUUCGAUUAGCCAGUUGGCGGGGUAACGGCCCACCAAAGCGACGAUCGAUAGCCGAUCUGAGAGGAUGACCGGCCACAUUGGGACUGAGACACGGCCCAAACUCCUACGGGAGGCAGCAGUGGGGAAUAUUGCACAAUGGGGGAAACCCUGAUGCAGCGACGCCGCGUGAGUGAAGAAGUAUUUCGGUAUGUAAAGCUCUAUCAGCAGGGAAGAAAAUGACGGUACCUGAGUAAGAAGCCCCGGCUAACUACGUG